rnacentral:lncRNA from 1 species
CCUCACAACAAGGGGGAGAGAGGCCAUCUCAUCAAAGUUUCUCCGCCACUCGAGUCUCUUACUUCCCCAAGAGGAACAAGAAUAUGGUUCUUCUGAGCACACUUAUAGGCCAAAGAGUUGUGAAGUCGGUGAGAUGGAAGGACAUCCUAGCAAGGUUAAGUAGGCCACUCCUGCUGAGUUGUUGCUUUAGAUGUAUUUUAGCCCAGGCUCACUCAGCCCAGGCUCUCUCAGCCCAGGCUCUCUUAGCCAGGCUCUCUCAGCCCAGGCUCUCUCAGCCAGUCUCUCUCAGCCCAGUCUCUCUCAGCCCAGUUUCUCUCAGCCCAGUUUCUCUCAGCCCAGGCUCUCUCAGCCCAGGCUCUCUCAGCCCAGGCUCUCUCAGCCCAGGCCAGGUUCUCUCAGCCCAGGCUCUCUCAGUCCAGGAUCACAGCCAGUCUCCCUCAGCCCAGUCUCUCUCAGCCAGGCUCUCUUAACCAGUCUCUCUCAGCCCAGUCUCUCUCAGCCAGGUCACUCAGCCAGGUUCUCUCAGCCAGGCUCUCUCAGCCAGGCUCUCUCAGCCAGGCUCCCUUAACCAGGCUCUCUCAGCCAGGCUCUCUCAGUACAGCCUCAGCCCAGGCUAGGCUCUCUCAGCCCAGGCUAGGCUCUCUCAGCCCAGGCUCUCUCAGCCCAGUCUCUCUCAGCCAGUCUCUCUCAGCCUAGUCUCUCUCAGCCCAGGCUCUCUCAGCCCAGUCUCUCUCAGCCCAGGCUCUCUCAGCCCAGGCUCUCUCAGCCCAGUUUCUCUCAGCCCAGUUUCUCUCAGCCCAGGCUCUCUCAGCCCAGGCCAGGCUCUCUCAACCCAGGCUCUCUCAGUCCAGGAUCACAGCCAGUCUCUCUCAGCCCAGUCUCUCUCAGCCCAGUCUCUCUCAGCCAGUCUCUCUCAGCCCAGUCUCUCUCAGCCCAGUCUCUCUCAGCCCAGUCUCUCUCAGCCCAGUCUCUCUCAGCCAGGCUCUCUCAGUACAGUCUCUCUCAGUACAGUCUCUCUCAGCCCAGUCUCUCUCAGCCAGGCUCUCUCAGCCAGUCUCUCUCAGCCCAGGCUCUCUCAGCCAGUCUCUCUCAGCCCAGGGUCUCUCAGCCAGGUUCUCUCAGCCAGGCUCACUCAGCCAGUUUCUCUCAGCCCAGGCUCUCUCAGGCCAGUCUCUCUCAGCCCAGGCUCUCUCAGCCCAGGCUCUCUCAGGCCAGUCUCUCUCAGCCCAGGCUCUCUCAGCCCAGGCUCUCUCAGGCCUCUCACAAUGUCUGGUAGGAGGAGAAGAGAAAGAAAGAAAGUGUGAUGUCAGAGGUUUUACUUGACACGGUUGAAUAUUGAAUUUUGCGUGUGACCAGCGCUAAGUGCGUGUGGCUGUAGCAGUCAGGGCAUGUCCUGAGGGGGCAGAGAGAGGCCCCAGUACCCUUCCCUGGGUAAACGGGCUGUCUCUCAGACCCUGGGUCUGGUAGGGCUCCGGUCAAAACUAGUGCCCUGGGCCCAUAGGUUGUGCACUAUGUAGGGCAUAGGGUGCCAUUUGAGAUGCAGCAUAGGGUGGGCAGGGACCAGACAGGGAGGGGACAGACAGAGAGGGGACAGACAGAGAGGGGACAGACAGAGAGGGGACAGACAGGGAGGGGACAGUCAGGCUCUAGUAGGCUGACAGAUGGACUCCACUCUAAGAUAUGAUAAACUUUCUCCCUUCCUCCUCUCCACUCGUCUAAUCAGGACGGCAGAGGGGAAGAUAAGAGGCUUAAAGGGAAUGACAGAGCUUACUGCUGGUGGAGAGAAAGAAAAGAAGAGGGGGAUGGGAGAAGGAUAGAGAGAGCGAGAGAGAGAGAGAGAGGGGAGGAGUGGGCAGAAAAAACAAAACCUCAAGGGCUCUAUAAUCCCAAAGCGAGGGAGUUGUGACUCUUGAGACGCACCAUCUGACAAGAUGCA